GACGAACGCUGGCGGCGUGCUUAACACAUGCAAGUCGAACGAAGUGGCGAACGGGUGAGUAACGCGUAAUCCACCUGCCCUUCAGAGGGGGAUAACAGUUGGAAACGACUGCUAAUACCGCAUACUGAAGGAGGGGAUUGCGUCUGAUUAGCUAGUUGGAGGGGUAACGGCCCACCAAGGCGGUGAUCAGGAGCCGGUCUGAGAGGAGGAACGGCCAAAUUGGGACGGGGACACGGGCCAGACUCCUACGGGAGGCAGCAGGGGGGAAUCUUCCGAAAUGGACGAAAGUCUGACGGAGCAACUCCGCGGGAGUGAUGACGGCCUUCGGGUUGGAAAGCUCUGUUAAUCGGGACGCGGUACCGGAAUAGAAAGCCACGGCUAACUACGUGCCAGCAGCCGCGGUAAUAC
rnacentral:rRNA from 1 species